GGGUGUCAGUGAUCACCGUGGCGCGGGAGAGCGAGCUGUGGAGGGCGAGGAACUGCUCAACGGUCGGCUGCGGGUUCUGCUCCUCCGCCGUCGAGCUCACCUCAGCGUACGAGCUGCUCCCACAAAAACAAGCAAGCCAAGGUAGGAGAUCAAGUGCAUUUAAGAUUUUACUUUCAAACACAGUUGUGUCACACAAGACAGUAAAAUUUUCCAGCAUUUGAGUGAAAUGCUGACAUUUUCCAGCAGUGGUUUGGAAAUGCUGUACAUUAGCAAUGAUGAGAUUGACAGUAGAGGACAGUGGAGCUGCCCAGUUGAUGAUGGUAGAAGGAAACAAGACGCAGGUGCAAGUACAGUGCAAUGAUAGGUAAACAGCAGGCCAUCCACACACAGCAUCAACAGACACAGUUCUGAAAAUUGGUCGUCCAUAUGCAAACCAAAACACUGUGAGUGUCAAGGUUAAUACCCUACGCGACACAGCAUGAACAUAGAGCAAUAGCCGCGCGUCUCGUUACUUGGGGCGUACCCUGUACCUGGAUGCUAAUACCUCCAUUUGAUUUGAUCCGUUUGCCCUGUAGAGUUUUGUACUUUCUAGCACAGCCUAA